rnacentral:misc_RNA from 1 species
AUCAUACAACUUUUGGCCUGAUUUCUAAUUCUUUUAAAAUGAUUUCUUUCAUUUUUAAGUUAAAUGAAUUGAAUUCUUUCACUUUUUAUGUUCUCAUGUAUGAGAUUUGAUAACAAGAAAUCAAUUAAAUUAAAUUCUUGCAAAUUUCUAGUUUUCGAACAGGCCGUGUAGGAAAAGUUCCAUCAGGUUUUAUGAAACCAUCAAACCAGUAUUCAAGAUUUUCUUAGAUGAAUAUAAGGUCUUCUUUCUUUUUUUUUUUAAUUGGUUGUAAGACAUACGUUGGUUCUGGUCAAUGUCAUUAGUAUGUUUACUGUCAAAUGAUAUGAGACUACAACCAGUGUUGUCAAAAGCACUAGGCACCUUUAAGGCGAGAAGAUCCUCCAUCACCCGAGGUGCUAGGGACUUGCCCUAGCGAAGUGAGG